GGAGAAAUGGAAGAAUGACCGCCAGCAGAAAGGGGAGUCCUAUUGGUAUUCAGUUACCGCCUCCGUAGUUACAAGGAUUGUGGAGAAUAUUGAAUUAAAAAUUCAAGAUGUCCAUUUACGCUUUGAAGAUGGUGUCACCAAUCCCUCCCAUCCUUUUGCUUUUGGCAUCUGCAUUAAGAAUGUGUCCAUGCAAAAUGCUGUGAAUGAGCCUGUGAGUAUGAAAUGUGAUGACAAAGCAGGAAGAAAGCCAUGCUCUAGGAAUCUGGGGCUCUGCCUUUUGCCAUUUUGUGUUAUGUAAAUGAAUCACAUUCUUUUCCAUUGCCUUCUGUGAUAGGCAUGGGUGUCUCUUGUGUAUUUGCAACAAAUCAAAUUUGCUGAAAUAGGGAAACAGGUAAUUUUCUCUGACCUUUGGUUAUAUCACUUUCAUUUUAUACAUGAAGAAACUGAGGGGCAGAAAGGAUUUUAUUUUUGAUUU
rnacentral:lncRNA from 10 species